ACAAGAACUAAAUGGCAUGAAUAAGAGAGAAGAGCUGAAGGGAAGGGGAGACAUAAUGAAAAUAAGAAAUAAGAUCAAUGUUUUGUUCAGCCAUCAUCAGAGAAGCUCACUCACGAUGUAGAUGGGAACAAACACAGAGACCCACAGCUGGACUAUAUGCAGACUGAGAUAUCUUGGAAGACUCAGUCCUAACUCAGAUGUCUCCACGAAGGCUCAAGAAUCCCUGUAGAAGAGGGGGCGGAGCCAAGAUGGCGACUAGCACACACAGUUUCUGAGUGGUGGGAUACCUGAACUUCUGAGUUGGUGAAAGGAAGGACCCCUAACCCAGGAAAACCACGGUGAGGCUUUCUGAACAACAGGGAACAUCGCAGGAGGUGAAAACUUUGGUCUCGGGUCACCCGGGGACUUGUUUGGGGAAGGAGAGAAACGAUCUUGCCGCACUCCCUUCCCCCAGACCUCCUUCCUCCUCGGCACAGCGGCACAGCGGACUCAUCUUUCUCAGCACAGACCUAACUGCCUGGGGUAUACAGCCCCUGAGACAGAGCCCCAAGCACUUUAGCGGCAGACAAAAGCCAGCAGUAUGUGUCCCGGAGUCCCAGAUUCACACAGCAGCUGCACCAUCCUCCCAGGGCGCAAAUCUGCUAGACACCAUACUAGCUCCACAGGAUCGCCAUCACUGAUGGUAUGGCCCGCCCAAUCCCACAGUGACAGAGAAUACGCUAUAUAGUCACCAAAACCAGGCAGAAACGUCAUACAACCUGGACACACCAGGCGCUGGGCCUCCCAAGCUUGGAGAGCACAAGGAAGAGACCCCAGGACUUCCCAGAAAGCAUUGGGACUAGCGACCCAGUCUCCAGUUACAGCGGGACUUGGCGGCGGAGCAGCACUGAACUGGUGGGGCACCACAGCCCUCCAGUUUAAGACUAACCAGGGCCAAACCAGAGAACAGAGAGCCUGGUUACCCCAUCCCUGCUGAAGUGACCACCCUGAAAUCUCCAGCUGCAGCAAGACCUCAGAACCUGGCAGUGACAGCAGCACAGAACUGGCGGAGCACAUCAAAGAAGCAGGGCCAAACCAGAGAGCAGAGAGCCCCGGAUACCAAGAUCUCUGCCAAGAUAUCUGCCUCCAAUCCAAAUGCCAACAUCAAACAGCAACAGGAAUCAACAUGAUUCAGCAGAAAGAGCAAGACUUCACUGAAUCAUAAUUAAUCAGCAAAAGCCACAAGACUCAGUUGGAUUGCCCAGAGAAAUUUUCUGGAACGUUUCUCUUUUUGAAGUGAAGAAUGGAGACCAGAGAGGCUAUGUAGAUCCAAAACAAAACAAAACAUCACAUGCCCUCUCACAAGAGAGCUUCCAGCAAAACAUCACAUGACAAAACUGAGUCUUCAAAGAAACCAGAAAUUUCCACUCAUGUUUUGUCUUAUACCUGUCUCUGUAAAACUCUCCUGGUAAAACCUGUGCUCUCUUAAAUAGUCUCUCUUUCCUGUACUCUUCUAUGAGUUGGGCAUAUCCUGUUCUUUCAAAACUUUCUCUGAUUGGUCACUUUGUCUGGCCUUCAAUUAGACAUCAUUGUUUUGGAUUAAAGGCGUAUAUUAAGGGUGUGUCUAUAUUCUAGCCAGGUAUGUGGCAUGUUUGCAUUACAGCUGGAUCACACAGACUUAAGUCUUUGGAUGUGAUACCUUGCCAGAGUAGCCAUAUUGCUGAAGUAAAAUUCAUCUAUAGCUCCUAGUGGUGACAAAAGAAAGGAAGUAGAUACAAGCCCUCAUCCUUAAUCUAGAAGCAGUCUCCAAAGGAUAAUUACUUGGAAUUAGUUUUCUCCAAUUAUUAUUAUUUUCAUGCCUAUUUGCAUUCUAAGAAGAAAGGAAAAAAUUAAGGAAGGAGAAUGGAAGAAAAGAAGGAAGGAAGGAAGGAAGGAGGGAGGGAAGGAAGGAGGAAAGAAAGAAAGAAAGAAAGAAAGAAAGAAAGAAAGGGAAGAAAGAAAAAGAAAGGGUAUGGAUUUGGGUGGUUAGGGAAGUAGGAAGUAUCAGGGAUGAGCUGAGAGAGGAGAAACUAUGAUUAAAAUAUAUUGUAUGAAAAUAAAAUUUAUUUUACAAUUUAAAAGAUCACUUUAAAAAUCAGUCAUUUUCCUAGUUUCUGACUGUAGAUAAAUCAUGACCUUUAACUUCUGAUAUUCUUUUAUUGUUGUAGAGCCAUUGGAUUUAAUUUCUUACUCCAAAAUAUGCAUCUACUAAACACAGAUGUGUAUAUGCAUGCAUGUAUCACACAUGCUCACAUGCGCACCCACAAGCAUUUACGCACACACACACACUUUAUAAGUCUAUAACAGAAUGCUUUUUACAUUUCAGUACGUAAAUUAUCACUUUCCUUUCAAGGAAAGGUAUGAUAACAAGACAAUGCUUCACCUUUCAAUCUGGAACAUAAAACAUAAAAUAUGAAACAGCACACUGUAAAGGGAUUAUGAAAGGAUUCUGACCCUUCAGAAACCAAACACAAAUGAAGGCCAUAUGCUUGUUCUAGUUUAUGGUGUCAUUAAAGCCCCCACACAUGACAUGGACAAGAGAAACCUGUAUAAUGUCAAAGAGAUUUCCAAGUUGACAUCCCAAGACUCUUAGAGAGCCAGAGAGAGAUGACCUGAUUAGCAGAAACCCUCCAGAAAUCUCAGGAGACCUCAUCUGAAUACCCAGAAGAAAAUUACUAACACAGACAAUAAGUAGACUACCCACAACUGUGGUGGGGAUAGGAAUGGCUUCCAUAGAUUCAUGUGUUUGAAUGCUUGGCCAUAGGGAGUGGCACCAUUAGUAGGUAUGACCUUGUUGGAGUCAAUGCAGCCUUGCUGGAGGAAGUGUGUCACUCUGGCGAUGGUUUUUGAGGUUUCCUGUGCUCAAACUCUCCCCUGUGUGGAAUUGUACUCUCCUGGCUGCCUUUGGCUUAAGAUGUAGAACUCACAGCAACUUCUCUAGCACCAUGUCUGUCUUGCAACACCAUAUUUUCCACUAUGAUGAUAACAGACUAAGCCUCUGAAACUCUAAGCUAGCCCAGUUACAUGUUUUCCUUUAUAAAUGUUGCCAUGGUCAUGGUGUCUCUUCACAGUAAUUAAAACCCUAAGACAAGAAAAGAAUCAUUCAAAGUUAGAACAAAAGUGGGGGCAAUGCUUCCACGGUGAAGCCAUGAUGAAACUAUUAUAAUUCCUUUUGUACAAAAUAUCAUGAUUCAUCAUAGGAACAAAACCAGCAUCAAUACUAAGCUCCUUUAUUUCUAUUUAAAGUGUUCUAACACACUGCAGAUUCAAGAUAUGACUGUUUUUAAGUCAUGUGACUAUCUCUCACACUCUCAUUCAGGAUGCAAAAAAUGUAAACUACCAAACCAACAGAUAUAAUUGAAAUUGUGUGUCAUUGAAUCAAAAUUAAUCAGUCAGAAAAGAAGCAGGAGAAUGUUACUUAUAAUAAAAAUUCUUCCAAAUAUCCUAGACCCACAUAAUUUUUUAGAGGUAUGAAAUAGGUAAGUAAACAUAAAUAGAACAUUUCCCUUAUGUUUACGAGACAUUUUAAGUAGAUACCUGGAAAUUAGGAAAAAGUACAAAUAAAAUCACUAAAAAUAAAACCUAUAUAUGCUGACAUGAAGAUACAUAAUUUAACUAAUUUUAGCAUAGGCAUCACAGAAGAAACAGAUUACAGUAAGAUAUCACAAUGAAAGCAAUUAAAAUGUGUGCUAGUUUUUUUGAAGGAGAUAGAAAAUAUAGUAAAUUGCAUAUGGCUUGGUUGGUCAUCAAAGUUUCAUGUGUUACAGUCUGGGUCAGUAGCAGUACUAGAUACGAUGAGGCCUUUAGUAGGCAUGGCCUAUGUGGAGAUCUCCAGACACUGUUGGAUGGACAUCCUCUAGUAGGUUUGAGGUAGCAUGCUAAAAAGGUGGUUGAGAUAAAAUGAGCAAACCUGGCCUCUCUCCAUGUCUGUGGCUUCCUGUGUGAGAUUUGAUCCCGUUCUCACACAUGUCUCCACCAUUGCGAUUUAUCAUAAAAUGGCAAGGUAGAGAAGGUCCUUGCCACAGUGGAAUUAAAGCAGGCCUGGUGCACAUGAGUCCACAGAAUUGUGAGAUAAAUUAGCUUACUCAUUAAGUCAGCGGCUUCAAGCAUUUCAUCGUAAUGCUGUAGGAAGAAAAUAUGUGAAAUUGAAUUCAAUAAUAUCUUAUUCUUCUUCCUAAUAGCUAAAACAAUUUCAGCUAUUCAAGGUCUUCUCUGCUUUCAUUACAUUUUAGAAUUAGAGGAUAAUUUUUCUGUUUAAAAAUGCAUUGUGGUAGGUAUAUAACACUAAUUCAUUGAUUAUAUUAGUUUAAGUUGAUAUCUUAAUUAUAUUCUGGUUUGUAAUCAAUAAAAAUCAUGCAAUUUUCCCUUUAAUUAGAUCUUCUUCAGAAACUUCUUUUACUUUUCUGUCGGCAAGAAAUACACUAGGCUGUGCUAAGUCAAGGCCUAGAUAGCUCAAGUUUUAAAUAGUGCUGUUAUUUAUAUUGAUAAGCACUUGUUAACAGUAAAUGUGAAUAUAAUUUUAUAUUGGUAUUAUAUACCUCACCAUCUUAGACAUUCUAGCUAAUAAUUUUUGUAGGUGCCACUGAAUUUUAAGCAUUCUUGAGCAUGUUAUUCUUAAAUGUGAUACUUUAUUUCUUCCUACUAAACUGUAUGUAAGUUUUUCAAUUCACAUUUCUUGACUUUUAGUCUAAAAUCACAAAUAGACCACUAAAUAGAAGAAAUUGGGAAAUAUAAGUUGUCUUGUACCUGAACUCAGAGGGGAAACGAUAAGUCUUUAUCUGUAAGUUUUUAUUACAUUUAGAUUUGCAUAUUUUUCUAUUAAGGCUUAAACUGUUUGUUCCUCACACAUGUUGAAGUUCACACAUACCGGUGAAUGUCAUUUUUUUCUUUUUCAAUGCAGUUUAUUCAGGAACAUUGAACAAUCCUCGGACCCCGGGGAAAGCCAGCCCACAGCUUAAAUAGCCUCUGGGUAGCCAACCCAGGCGUGCCACGGGGGCAAUAAAAUAGGAUCUUUGCAGAUGAUCAAGAUCAGAUGGGCCUAUUAAAAGCAAAGCUAAUUUUUAACAUUCCUGAACUUUCACAAAGGGAUAUCUGCAUGCCUAGGAGAACAGAGGAUUCAAGGCAAAAGAAUAGACAACUAACAAAGGAAGCUGCCAGAAGCUGUGUGAGAAACAUAGACCCCACUCCUCCUUUCACAGACCUAAAAUAAUCAACCUUUCACACACCUUUUACUUGCAAACUAUCCUGAACUAGGAAAUUGUCAGAUUUUGCUGUCUAAAUCCCCAGCCUCUGGUACUCUGUGAAGGCAGCUCUGGGAAGAAAUGCUGUUUCCAAGUUGGGGUAUGGAAUGUUGUUUUGUAUUGCUAUCCCUGCCCCCCUCCCACCAAAGUCAAGAUAGACUGUUGAAUUUUGCCAAGCAAUUCUUUCCCAUUGAGUUGAACAUAUGAUUUUAUACUCAUUGUAUGUGUAAUUGAAUUGACUAAUUUUUAAAUGGUAGCACAAACUGUAGGUUUCCAAGACAAAUGCCAUUUCACCCUGAUGCAUGUUUCCCUUUUACAUAAAGAAUUAAGUUUGCCUAAAUUGUAUUUAAAGGCAUAUGUAA